GAUCCUGGCUCAGGACGAACGCUGGCGGCGUGCUUAACACAUGCAAGUCGAACGAGAAUCUGUGGAAAGAGGAUUCGUCCAAUUGAAGCAGAGGACAGUGGCGGACGGGUGAGUAACGCGUGAGGAACCUGCCUUUCAGAGGGGGACAACAGUUGGAAACGACUGCUAAUACCGCAUGGCACAUAGGUGUCGCAUGGCACUUAUGUCAAAGAUUUAUCGUUGAAAGAUGG
rnacentral:rRNA from 1 species